UGUUCCUGAGAGCGGCUGGAGUGUGAGCUAGAGAAGAGACGAGAGGUGAAGCUGCACUGGGUGGCUACCAGGCAGGGUUCAAGGCUCACCGGGCCAAAGUUUGAGGGCAGUCGUCGAGCGUACCACCAGCUGUAGAAGCUGUGUGAGGAGAAACGACUGAAGGAAGCAGCACACAGAGUUGCAGCUGCCGAGGAGAAGAGGUGUUCCUGAGAGCGGCUGGAGUGUGAGCUAGAGAAUAGACGAGAGGUGAAGCUGCACUGGGUGGCUACCAGGCAGGGUUCAAGGCUCACCGGGCCAAAGUUUGAGGGCAGUCGUCGAGCGUACCACCAGCUGCAGAAGCUGUGUGAGGAGAAACGACUGAAGGAAGCAGCACACAGAGUUGCAGCUGCCGAGGAGAAGAAGAGGUGUUCCUGAGAGCGGCUGGAGUUGAGCUAGAGAAUAGACGAGAGGUGAAGCUGCACUGGGUGGCUACCAGGCAGGGUUCAAGGCUCACCGGGCCAAAGUUUGAGGGCAGUCGUCGAGCGUACCACCAGCUGUAGAAGCUGUGUGAGGAGAAACGACUGAAGGAAGCAGCACACAGAGUUGCAGCUGCCGAGGAGAAGAGGUGUUCCUGAGAGCAGCUGGAGUGUGAGCUAGAGAGGAGACGAGACCAAGCAUUAUG